UGGUUCCAGUUCUGGAGGUAUUAGUGCACUACAAAACUCUUCUCCCCUCCAUUGCACACACAGCAGAUGCUCGCUCUCACCUCUCCUCAACUCUCUUCCAUUGCUUUGGCCUUAGGGUUUAGAUUCCUCCCUGUUUCUUUCUCUUCAAUUCUCUCGACUUUUUAGAAUUCAGUAGAGUAACGCCAUGGUAAGGCGUAAGUCAUCGGUUCAAAUCCGAUAAGAGCUUCCUCCGUUGAAGCUAUUUCCUCAUUCAAAACCAGUUUCUGCUCCCACUUGGUCUCUGUUUGGUCCUUAGUUUCUUACUUUCAACCAACCUUCAAACGCGAUCGGAGAACAGAGAGGCUUUUCUCUCUUUAUUUCGGUCAAUGGUGUUUCCUUCAGCCUCCAAACCUCACCAAACUUCACCUCAUAGAGACGCUAUCAAAUUCACAGACAUGGCUUCUUCAACUCUUAAAUCUCAUCAGCCUCUCCAUAACUUCCCCUUACAGGAUCUCAAAUGGUCCAUGAACCACACCAACAACCACCGCUUCCGCAAGCUUGCUGCUGAUUCCUCUCACAAAUCCCCCCACCGUGACGCCGCCGAGUCUGAUGGUGCGAAAACUGGGAACUCCGUGGCUUUUCCCGAUCGCAUGAAUGAGAAAUCUGAGAAGAAAUAUGGGGCUGUGGAUACUGCGGUUGACAAUUCCGACAAGAAAUCCAAGAUCUUUAUUCGCAUCAGGACUAAGCACAGCAAGUGCGCUGAAGAUUCUGCGGAUGCUGGGGAUCAGACCUCAGUUAUGGACGAUGCGGAGGAAACGAUAACGAAGACAUGGAAUCUGAGGCCGAGAAGAGCCGUGACUAAGGCUUCAAAUGGGAAUGGAGGUGCACUGAAGAUCGGUGGAGCCGUCGCUCCUGAAACCAAAGCUCAGGAACCGAGUCGCCCUGAGUUGGCUCGAUCACGGAAUGCUAACGAUGCGAAGGUGGCUGAGAAGAAAGAGAAUGAGAAGGAGAAGAAGCAAAAGCUCUCGAUCCCGCUUACCAAAGAGGAAAUUGAAGAGGAUGUCUAUGCCUUGACUGGGUCAAAGCCUGCGAGGAGGCCCAAGAAGAGACCUAAGCUUGUGCAGAAACAACUUGAUUGCUUGUUUCCUGGAUUGUGGUUGUCUUCCAUCACGCCUGAUGUAUACAAAGUUUCUGAUACUCCUCCAAAGGGUUAGAUGAUCCAUUUAUGUAAACUGGGAACUUGAAGGUGGAUGACUUCCCAAUUAUUGACAGUUUGGCACCAGCAUAAAGUAUGAUAGAUACAUCAUGAGCCUGUAAAGAUGAAAGGUAAGGCAGCUGUGAUCAUAGAAGGCUGGAGCUAUUCACCUCAGUAGCGGAGCAUAACAGUAAAUGCCCACGCUUUUAUUUGCUGAACAGUUCACCUUUUAUCUUCGAAAAUCUAGGUGCAAAUUUAAGAAUUGACACGGCUUGAGCUGCUUUGACAAGCUGAGGGGAAUUGUGGUGCUCAAACUUUCUGCAUAAGUUGGUUAUCAUUAUCACAGAUGAGUCUAUUAUUAGUAUUAUUAGUUGUUUGGCAUUGCAUUUAAUAGCAAAUUGCUUUGCCAUUUUCAGUGGCCGGGAGCUUCAAAGUAGUUAUCUGAAGUUCAGGGUGCAUGCAGUAUUUGGGAAUCGAUGUUGUUUACAGAAAGGGGACUGAAAAUGCUGUUGUUGUUUCGAGCGAGCUUUCUUGGUACACCGAAAGACCUUGCUUCUGUUUGAAAUUCUAUUUUACUGUUGUACAGUGAAAUUUCCCUUGCAUUCUUCACAAAAACCUAGGUGGAAGUUCCUUUUAGAAAAUAUCCCAGGAAAAUUAUCCUCUCCCCGUCUUUGUCCCUCGAUAAACUUAAAUAUAAGUAUAAACAUUUAUAAGCUAAAAUAAGAAGGAAAAAUUAUAGU